UGGGGAAUCUUGCACAAUGGGCGAAAGCCUGAUGCAGCGACGCCGCGUGCGGGAUGAAGGCCUUCGGGUUGUAAACCGCUUUCAGCAGGGACGAGGCCGCAAGGUGACGGUACCUGCAGAAGAAGCCCCGGCUAACUACGUGCCAGCAGCCGCGGUAAUACGUAGGGGGCAAGCGUUAUCCGGAUUCAUUGGGCGUAAAGCGCGCGUAGGCGGUUUGUUAGGUCAGGAGUUAAAUCUGGGGGCUCAACCCCUAUCCGCUCCUGAUACCGGCAGGCUUGAGUCUGGUAGGGGAAGGCGGAAUUCCAAGUGUAGCGGUGAAAUGCGCAGAUAUUUGGAAGAACACCGGUGGCGAAGGCGGCCUUCUGGGCCACGACUGACGCUGAGGCGCGAAAGCGAGGGGAGCGAACAGG
rnacentral:rRNA from 1 species